CCCGCUGAACCAGUCGAUGAAGAGCGAGGGCUCCACAUUGCAGGUGGCUGCCAGCUGCCAGGGGCCGGGGGCGCAGGGCUGACCACGGAGGGGAAUGCUAUCAUGUGCCUGCCUGGGACAGACACCUGGCACCGUCGGCCCAGAGACCUCUGUGGACGCCCCUACAGAGACGCACUCGGUGCCUCUGUGAACACUUGCAGGCUACACAGUCAGGCAGACACUCGCUCCCCACCCCCGUGCACCCCCAUUCGUGGGCACCCUCUGCACUGGGGCUGAAGCCCUGCCCCGGCUGUCCACGGGUCCGGAGCCUCCCCACUCACUGUCCACUGCAGGCACACCAGCAUGUACGCCAGAUUCUCCACUUCAAAGUUCACCAAGGCAAGCCACAGAAGCUGCCAUGUCCCAGGGCAGGGCACAGAAAGCAGAGCCCCUCCCCCGUGAAGCCCAGCCUCGAGGCCUCCCGAUAGGACUCUCAAUCUCCCUGACUCGGAGGCGGCCACAAAGAACUGCUCUGACGCAUCUUAUC